GUUCUAUUUUCAGCUUAUAAAAUCUUUGAAGCUUAAAAUACAGAAAUUAAAUGAAACACUGCUGGAAGCUAAUGAAGGCUACAGAAAAAUGGCAGAAGAGAACAGCAGGCUGAAGCAUACGAUCAUGCUUAAGGAUCAAGAAAUGAAUAGUCUCCAGAACUGGGCUAAACGUGUUCUUGAGCUUGAAGAAACAGUGUCUUCCCUGCAAAAAGAACUUGACGGAUGCAAAAAAACCUUCUCUAUUGAGGACUCAAAACAGCAGAAACCCAGGAGAGGUCUGUUGGCUAACCUGAAAUCCACAGUAGCAGGUACUGCUGGCACACCUCUUGGCAGAGGAUGGGGGAAGCACGAAGAGGCUUCAACCUCAAGAAAACACGUAUUGUUUGCUCAUAAAGCAAAGGAAUAAUAUUUGAUUAACAAAACUAGCAAUUACUGGACUGUUUUAUUAAUCUCGUACUGUUGUUAGGUGCUUCUUUUUCUACUCUUAGAUGCCCUCUUCAUUAUUAUGUUAAAUGUUUUAUUAAACAUUUGUCAGUUAAGUUGUGUUAGGUUUAGAGCUGUGUAAGUAUGGACCUGAACUUCUGCUUUUAUGGUUGAUAUGGGGAUGUUAUUUGAAAUUGAUCAAUAUUAAAAAUCAGUGUAUUUUAUACACCUUAAAUUCUUAAAUAACUGCUAUCAAGGUCUCUUGUACUUAUAUGCAAUUCACACAAAGUGGAAUAUUCUUCAUCUGUUGCUUGAUACCUUUAUAAAUUAUUUCUCUUGUUAUUGAUUCCUAGAAAUGAGAUGGCUUGUUACAAGUGGCUAAAACAGCUUGCUUCUUCAAAAAUACUGUAACUUUGACCUGAGAACUACCCUCCUGGGACUAAACUGACCAAAUAAGACCUCAUAAAAGAAACAAAAUGAGGUCUUAUUUAUCUUCUUGCUAUUUUUUCAGCUAACUUGCUUUGUAAAGGAACUUGUUUUAAUAUCAUUUACAUUUCCACUAAGUGUAUAUGUUAAACUUUGAAAAAAUUAUUAUAAAUAAAACUUUCAAUUAUUAUAUUAUUCA
rnacentral:lncRNA from 1 species